GGGCAGCAUGUUCACCAUCCAAUAACGGCAACUUAGAAAAACUGCUGAAAUGAUGCUGAAAUCAUUUGAAUCACAGCAAUUUAACACAAUAGGAGCUCAAAUUACAGGUGGAGACUUGAUUGGCAACAACAGGUACAAUUUGGUAAUAUACUCUGGAAAUUAUCCAACUCUAUAACGACAAUAUUUACUCUCUUUAGUUCUCUGGAAGUGACCUGGAUUUCAAUAACUGUAAUAAGUCAAGAACCAGCCUCCCUUUCUCUCAUCCAGCGUGUCUCUAUCCUAUAAAAGCAGAACUAUCCCUCCACUCUGUACUACAACACCUGUUCACUAUUACCUUCAAGAGCUCCACUGUACCAAGGAAGAACACAGACACAGCGGCAAUGGAUAGAUGUAAACCACACUGUGAGGACAAAAACAAAGGUAGUUCCAUUGGCAACAUAUCAGGAGGUGGAGGCAACAAGGGCAUUGGCAAUGUAUCAGGAGGUGGAGGAAGUAACAUUGGCAACAUAGAUGGGGGUGGAGGCAACACCGGCAUUGGCAACGUUGGAAAAUAAUCUGGAUGCCAUUAGGGCCACUUCACCAAAAGCCUGUCAACAUCCCUGUUCACACUGGGGUGAAGAUUAUGAAAACUAGAUGCAUAUUAAUGGAAUUAGGCUGUUCUUAGUGCUAUCAGAUUCACUCUAGGAGUAUAGUUUUAAUCAACAAUGUAACCACUCUUGCUUUUGGCAAAUAAAUAAAUGUUAACACAUUGAUUUGAGUUGUCUGGAAAUUCUUAACUCAUACCUUGUGUGUGUGUUUGUGAGGGGUGGGGAUAGGGGGCCAUCCCAUAGCUCAUCACCAGGUAUUUAAAGUCAGCUACAAUAAAACUUCCAAUACUGAAUGAAAUGUAAAUUCAAAGAAUCUGCAGCUUUUACAACCAGGAGAAUCCAGUUCAGAGUAACACUUUAACCUGAAAGUCCUGAUAAUCUAUAGACUAUCAAUGAAAUAUCCAUCAAUAUAGACC
ensembl:lncRNA